rnacentral:rRNA from 1 species
AUUGAACGCUGGCGGCAUGCUUUACACAUGCAAGUCGAACGGUAACAGGCCGCAAGGUGCUGACGAGUGGCGAACGGGUGAGUAAUGCAUCGGAACGUGCCCAGUCGUGGGGGAUAACGCAGCGAAAGCUGCGCUAAUACCGCAUACGAUUUAUGGAUGAAAGCGGGGGAUCGCAAGACCUCGCGCGAUUGGAGCGGCCGAUAUCAGAUUAGCUAGUUGGUGAGGUAAAGGCUCACCAAGGCGACGAUCUGUAGCUGUCCUGAGAGGACGACCAGCCACACUGGAACUGAGACACGGUCCAGACUCCUACGGGAGGCAGCAGUGGGGAAUUUUGGACAAUGGGCGAAAGCCUGAUCCAGCAAUGCCGCGUGCAGGAUGAAGGCCUUCGGGUUGUAAACUGCUUUUGUACGGAACGAAACGGUGAGCUCUAAUACAGUUUGCUAAUGACGGUACCGUAAGAAUAAGCACCGGCUAACUACGUGCCAGCCGCCGCCGUAAUAC